CUACGGGUGGCACCAGUGAGGAAUAUUGCACAAUGGGGGGAACCCUGAUGCAGCAACGCCGCGUGGAGGAUGACGCAUUUCGGUGUGUAAACUCCUUUUAUAUGUCAAGAAAAUGACGGUAGCAUAUGAAUAAGCACCGGCGUAACUCCGUGCCAGCAGCCGCGGUAAUACGGAGGGUGCAAGCGUUACUCGGAAUCACUGGGCGUAAAGGACGCGUAGGCGGGUUGGAAAGUCGGGUGUGAAAUCCUACAGCUUAACUGUAGAACUGCACUUGAAACUUCUAAUCUAGAGUAUGGGAGGGGGAGAUGGAAUUAGUGGUGUAGGGGUAAAAUCCGUAGAUAUCACUAGGAGUACCUAAAGCGAAGGCGAUCUCCUGGAACAUUACUGACGCUAAGGCGUGAAAGCGUGGGGAGCAAACAGGAUUAGAUACCCGGGUAGUC
rnacentral:rRNA from 1 species